rnacentral:miRNA from 1 species
CAUUCCUUUUUAUGACUGAGUAGUAUGUGUGUGUGUGUAUAUAUAUAUGUAUACACACACACACACACACACACACACACAUCACA